rnacentral:lncRNA from 1 species
CAGAGAGUGCUGGCUGGAGUUGGAAACGAGGGAGCUGUCACCACACAGGUGGGAUCCACCCCCUGGGGCUGGACGAGCUCACCCCAGGAGCAAGGAUCUGGAAGGAAGAAGCUCAGAUGAAAGCAAUGGGAGACCCGGGCCCUCCCAGCACGGGGGUGUGUCAUGCGGUUGGAGAGUGAGGACCCAUGCGUGGACAAUGGCCGGACUCAGGCUGGAAGGAACGUAGCUAGCACGCGGAGAGACAGCGAGAACGCGGUGCCCAGUGAAGCUUUGCUGAAUACCCAUAAUCCUGUUCUCCGUCACCAAAGGAACACUGGCCUCCCUGACCUGUUCUCCAGGGCACGUAGCA